CACCAAAAGAUAAAGUCAUAUGGUUAGGUAAAAAGAUAGUUAGGUGAGUAUAAAGUUUGAUAAUUUUUUAUAAAAAGGUAAAAUUUGAAUAUAAAAAAGUGAUUUUACUAAGGCUGUAAUGCUGAAGCUAUGAUAAUUUUGAGGGAAACUGGGAUUAGAUACCCCAUUAUUCAUAUAUUGUAAAUGAAUUGGAUUUACCAGAGUACUAUGAAUGGAUUUGAUUUAAAACUCAAAGGGCUUGGCGGUGUUUUAGACCAAUUAGGGGAACCUGUCUCAUAAUCGACAAUCCACGUUAGACCUGACCUUUUUUAGUAGACAGUUUGUAUACCGUCGUCGUCAGGUAACUUUUUAAAAUAUAGAAGUUAGCAAAGAUAAUAAUGUUAAUUAAGACGUCAGAUCAAGGUGCAGCUUAUAAAAAGGAGAGGAUGGGUUACAAUUAUAGAUUUAUAAUACGGAUAAUUUAAUGAAAAAAUUUUCAAGGAGGACUUAAAAGUAAUAACGUAAUAUAUAGAUGGCUUGAAUUAGGCUCUGAAACGUGC
rnacentral:rRNA from 1 species